AGAGGAGAAAGCGCUGCCGGGGCCAAUAACGGCUUGACCUGAAUACAUGCUGUCUGCAGGAGAGGUGAGCACCUAUCAGAUCCCCCUGCUGUCCUUCACCCCUCAGUGCAGUCUUCUGACCAUCGCUGAGGACAGGAAGAAGUCAGCCAAGUUCAUUGCCAUGCAACGCUCUACUGAUCGAGGAGACCAUGAGAAGGGAGUGGGUCACCUGACCAACACCAUUGCUGUGUGUGGUUAACUCCAGCAGACCUCUUCCUGUCUUUUAGAAACGGGCCACUGUCCGCCAGGUGAGGAUGCUCUCCCAUGGAAGGGCUGUUGUGGAAACAAAAUGCCUGAAAGUUGCC